CUUCGGUGGACGCGGCUUCAAGGGGUCAACAAAUCGCCUGGGAGCUUUGCUGUGUUGACCUCCUGAGUGGGGUUCUUCGGUGGGGAACAAAAAUUGGUGGAGGUGGCUUCGCUCCUUGCAGCUGGAACGAAGAGGAACCGAAGUGGAGCGGCAAAAUCAAAGGAGAGAGAUCUCGGUGGUUGACUGGAACACCUGGUAGCAAAGUCUUCGAAGGUGGAAACUUCGGUCUCCAAUGGGUUCCGCUGGACGUACGAAGAAGCGUGGACGCGUGGAGAUGGGCAGCUUUGUGUGUCUUCACUCGGUGGGGAGGAGACGUGGGCUUCGCUGGUUGCUGGUCUUUGAUCAUAUGGAGCUGGCGUGGCUCCUUUGAUGUUGGCUUCGUGCGGGGGAAUGUAGCGGUGGAUGAAGUAGAGUCGAGGAGGGGUAGUCUUCAAUGACUGCUCCGUUUCUCUUCAGCUAUGGCGUCGCAUGAAAUGGGGAGAAUGAAGGAGAGACAAUUUACGACAACUAGAGAGAGAGGAUGAGGGAGAGUAGAUGGAUAGAGAUGAGAGGUGAGGGGGCUCCACUUUGACUUGAUUUUUCCACAAAUAUCCCCCACACUCACUCNNNNNNNNNNNNNNNNNNNNNNNNNNNNNNNNNNNNNNNNNNNNNNNNNNNNNNNNNNNNNNNNNNNNNNNNNNNNNNNNNNNNNNNNNNNNNNNNNNNNUGGUCCAAAUGGCUAGUGGAAUGGGGGCACACGAAUUUGCUUGAUACCUCCUCCAAUUGAUCACUCAUUUCUUCUCAAUUUAACCUUGUAAGGCCUCAAUAAAUCCAAGUGAUGCCUCAAUGCUUCAAUUAAAUAUUCUCCUCAUCCAAUAACUCAUCUCGCAUCUCAAUUUUGCAUUCCAUUUUAAUCUCCGGCUCCAAUUGCAUAGAAAUGACAUGAUUAAUUCAAUUGAAAUUAAUACCGAAAAUUCUGGAUGUCACAACUCUUCCCCUCUUAUAAAAAUUUCGUCCUCGAAAUUUAAAUCUUUACCAAUCCAUAAACGAAGGGUGGGGGUAUUGUCGUCUCAUUGAGUCUCACUUUUCCACGCUAGCCCUUCGGUCUUGUGGUAUUGUCCGACAAUUUUGACCAAGGAGACCAUCUUGGUAUAGAAAAUCUGCUCUUUCUAAACCAACAACUGAACUGCACUUCUCACAUAAGACACUUUGUCAUCCACAUCUGAUCUGUUUUCUCGGCUCCUUAAUAAACUUUCGAACCUCAACGAUUCAAAAUUUCUGAUAGUUCUGAGCAAUCUUUACUCUGACACUGGUCUGACAACUGUAGACACUGAUUUCUGAGCUGACUCUGGACUUGCGAUUUUCUAAUUUCUGAUCUCAUCCCAACCGACUGAAAUCCUGUACACUCUGCUUUGCACUGAUUAAAGAGAAACUACCUGACUGAUUAGCUGAAACUGAGAAUCUCUAGUCAAGAUCUGAUAUAACUCGGACACUGAUCUUGGCAACUGCAACCACUGACUACUGUACUGACUUUGGCCUGAAAUCUUUAUUCACUUUCUUUUCACCACUGAAAUUCUGUACCAUCUGCUAUGCACUGCUUAAUAAAGAAUCCUCUGCAACUUUGCCAAAUUUAUAAUCUCUGAUUUAGAUUCGAAAUAUAAUUCAUCCCCGGCACUCCAUGCUGGCGAAUUAUCUGAUGCACACACACUUCGGUAUACCCACUCUGUGACAAGAUAGAAUCUUCAAUUUUUGAAAUCGAAUUUAGAUUGGCGGUUAAUUUCACUCCGACACGCUUUUAGUGUGACCUAGGCUACUGGGUAGUGUUCAGAGCUUUUUAGAACAAAUGACCCAUGGUCGAUUUUCUUCGAGCCACAAUAAACCCACUCGACCCAUUGGUGACUCUCGAUUGUCGUGAAAAUCUCAAGGAUUCAAAUACGGACACAGGGCGCCAAAACGAUAGAAACAUCAAAUUAGUGUCGGUCGAUGAGAAUCUUCCAAUUUAGUGGAGUCACCCACGAUCGGUCAUUCGUCUCAAUCGAACCGAUCUAUCUUUGAUUUCAAAUUGGGUUUUAUACUAUGCCGCAAUGAUCUCUAAAGAUAAGCACGGUCAAGAAGUCGAUCCAUGGUCGAAUUCUCAAGUCUAUUUGCCUUAAGGUCCUUAAUAACUCACCCAGCUAGUCUAGUUAUCUCAUGAGUGGCCAACUCAGAGAAAAACACUAUAAUCGCGUCGAUGAAAUGCCCAAUUUAUCUAAUCGAAAUCAGAGCCCGAAAUCUAGAUGUUACACUCUCAAAACAAGAUCUACUCGUAUUGUACCAAAGUGGACCAACUCCAUAUAUCUAUCAACCGCUAUUCUCAAAUGGUAUCAGUAAUCCUCUGAAUCCUUAGUAAGCCUAUCACAAUGUUUCAUUGUGAUAUAUUUCCAUUUCCACUUAGGACUCUCAAGUGAUGGUAAAAACUCUCCCGAUUCACAUUAUCGAGCUUCCACUUACUGACACUUCUGACACUUGCAACCUGCUCAGCAAUAUCUAUCUUCAUAUCAGCUUACUAAUCUAGCUGAUGCCGAUUCUGCUUUACUUGCACCAUCUGGUCAAGACUGCAAUACUAUAGUGAACUUCUAACAUGGUCUUUUCCUUGAGUGCUACACUGUCAAGUGCACUCAAUUCCUCAUGGAACCCGAAUCAGAAGUCUUAAAGUCAGAUUCUUUCUUGCUAGUAUCAUCUUAUAAGAUCUCUGAACAUCUCUGUCUGUCAACUAGGCGAUGAUUCCAACUUGAACAUUUGGCUCAAUUUUGAGGGUGGCUAUAAAAUUCAAAAGGUAGCCUACCUCAAAUUUGAAAACCAAAUUUCAAACCCUUUUCAAGUAAAGUCUAUACUUUAGCCAGUCUAUGCACAAUUGAAGACUCUCAGCUCAACACAUUAAUUACUUCUUUCAUUCUCCCAAGGUGAUACCAGAUAACACCAUUAUAGUUCUGCCAAAAUUUUGAUUCACGAUACUGUUUCAUGUUCAACUUGUUGGGCCUCAACUGGAGGAACAGUGAUGCAAUAAUCUUCUCAUGUUGUAUCAAUACGUACCCAGUCCUUUACAAGACACAUCACUAAAUACUUCAUGCUUUUCAAAACCAAAUGAAGAGUUUAGCACAAGUACGAUAGUCAGUUCUUACUUAAGCUCUGGAAAUUAUCCUCGUACUUGUCUAUGCUGAUGAAUUUCUCUUCUUUCUCAAGAGGUCAAUCCUGCGAUGAUAUUGAUACUGAAAAUUCUUUCACAAACCUUUUGUAGUAAUCUGUCCGAUCCCCACAGCUUCUGAUCUCUGACAUUGAUGUCGGUCUCGGUCCAUUAACAAGUGAUUCAAUCUUGGCUGAGUCCAUGAAGAUUCCUUUAUUUGUAAUCACAUGAUCAUUCUUAGGGGCUCUCGUGAUCCUCAUCACUUAAUGAACACCCUAGAACAUUGUUACAUCACACGAUCGCCAUUGAUCUAGGUAUUCUUUGAACACUCGGUUUGUCAAAUCCAUGACAGCGGCUGAAGCGUUCGUCAAAUCAAAUGGCUUUACAUUAUUCUCACAAGGCUAAAUCAAGUGCGAAGUGUUGUCUUCAGUAUAACCUCAUUCCUGGUUCUCUACUGACAAUAACCUGCCCUCAAGUUGAUCCUUGAAGACAUGAACACUCUUUAAAACAAGUCGUCCAAUUAAGUUGACAAUGGUUGAUGCCUGAUUGCAAUGAACCAUCUUCAUUUCUCUUUUCAAAAAACUGACGUUCCUUAAAGCGAUGCACUAAUAUGUAUGAAUUCCUCAUUCAUCAAUCUUCACAUCCGUAUCUUCGGUUCUAUCAAUUCAAACAACAAUAACUAGUGAUUCCCCUUUCUUCCACUUAUUUCCAUAAAAUGAAGUUCCCCAAACUUCAUCCAAACUCUGCUACGAUACUCUGAUAGAAUUUUCCCCCAAAACAUUCUUCCUUUGUCUAAUGCCAAGUCGGUUUCAUUUAUGAUCUUCUCACCAUACCUGGAUACUAAAUUCAUCCAGGUUUUCUUCCACAAUUUCGACACAUAUCUGGUGAGUCUUCUACCUCUUGUCAAGUGCUAGGAUGCACUAUUUCUUGUGCCAGAGACCUAUCCCAGAAAUUCCACAGUGCGUUCUAUGGCGCACUUCUCCUGACCUGUCCUAUCAACGGUGACAACAGUAACAGUUGUCGAGAUUCCAUCUACUAAUGCGAACAACCCAUAAAUCAUUAUUCGUACUGGCGACACUUACCACAAUUUCCUUCCUUCAGAAUACACGAGACUAAUCCCUAUCGUCUUUCAUAGAACAACAUGUUCCAUUAAUCUGAAUACUGACCUGACUAUGCCACCUUUCCUAUUGGGUGGAAUAGAAUACCAUUCUCUCAACAUCAGUCUUUACCCUGACCGAAUUCCCAAUAUGGUUGCACUGAAUCUUGAUUCAAAUAUCGAAAUAUAUUCCCUGAUCAUCCUUCCAGGUUGGACCUCAACAAAGGUAGCAACAACAACAACUUGAUUCUGAUCAUAUUGGCUCAUCCAAACCCCAAGGAACACUUGCAUCAAAUCAAUCUUAUCGAGCUUAAGAUCAAUCAAUGCUGCUACACUAGUACCACCCCGCGGUGGUACUCUUACGCUUAAACUGGCUAGAGUCAACACUCUGCCAUCCAAAUCCACAACGAUUAAAAUCAAGCGAUUCACACAUGACAAACAAUUCUACCAAUCAACUAUCAAAAGACAUGCACCAGUCAUGAAUUUAAAGGCCUUUCCUACUACUAUCCCAUAGGUCAUCGCACCUUAUCACUCCAAUACCUAACCAUUGCUCUGAUACCAUAAAAAGGGGAUGUCACGCCCCGAUCCUCAGGCACGCGCACAUCCCUUAACUUUUGGUCGAUUUUAUUAUUGCGAUAUCCCAGGACUAUGUAUCGCCGACCUUUUCAUUUAUAUAUGCACAUGCGGAAGCGGUUAUAAAUCCCCAGACAAUAAAACAAUGGGAUAUACAAGUAGGGCUAGGAAAUUGAACCCGAAAACCACACCAUUGCAAUCAUACACAAGCCAUACUAAUACGAUUGGUUUCUACUCAAAUUGAUUCUAUAACAAUCGUCAUCAGGAUCCUACUCUGGAUCAUCCUCGGGGUUCUCCUUCACGUACUCCUCCUCAGGUUCCUCAACAGGGAUCUCCUCAUCAGAUUCAUGCUCCUUAGGCUCCUCAUCCAGGUCCUGAAAUGGUUAUUCAAUAACCACUGAGACAACGUCUCAGCAAGUUCUACCCUCUAAGACCCGAUUAGUAAACUAAUACACCUUAGGGCUGCCUAUGCACAACAUGAGUCAGAGGACUUACCUUGGCCUCAGAUUCCACCUGCAUAUUAGCAUAGAUCAUACAGGCACCCAAGCAAUCAUAUUAUAGAUCGAAGCAUCGAUCUAAUCGACCUAGUCGAUUACACGCCAAGAAGACCAUUCACGGCCAUCGCUAUUCAAUCAUUCAAUUCACAACAUCAAAUCAAGGCAAUGAAUCACAUCAAGUCACUCUAAGAUCGAAUCAUCGAUCAAUCGACCUAGUCGAUUAUAAGUCAGUCGGACCAUUUCUAGGUCAUUCAUCCAACACCAAGCAAUUCCUUAGAUUUAGUGGCUUUACGGUCCCACCCGACCUUAUCAAUAUCUAGUGGCUUUACGGUCCCACCCGACCUCAUCAAUAUCUAGUGGCUUUACGGUCCCACCCGACCUUAUCAAUAUCUAGUGGCUUUACGGUCCCACCCUACCUUUCCAAGAUUUAGUGGCUUUACGGUCCCACCCGACCCUUUCAAGAUCUAGUGGCUUUAUGGUCCCACCCGACCCUCUUAAGAUUUAGUGGCUUUACGGUCCCACCCGACCUUUUCAAGAUGCCAGACUAUGUCACCGAGCCACGUGCAUUCUCCAGGAAGACAUACCGAGUCUCCGAGCCACGUGCAUUCUCUAAGGCUACCUUUUCGCCAAGAUGACAUAUCUAAUCACCGAGCCACGUGUCCUUCCCAGGUGACACUCCAAUUCACCGGGUCACGGGCAUUCUCCAGGUGAUUUACCAACGCACUUUCGAUACUGACAACCGUUACUCGACCAAUCCUCAAUCACAAGGCCAAAAUUGCAUUAUUUAAUAACAUGCUUAAAAAUGCAUCAUUAAAUCAAUUCGACACGAAUUAAAGCUCAAAUAAAUAAACAGACUACUCCACGACAAUCAGCACGAAAUUCCGGUCACCGGCCAUCCCGGUUGAAUUUCCGGAAAAUAAAUAAUUAAAUAAUUAAUUUCGAAAAUUAAAUAAAUAAAUACAAUAAAUUCAAUUUAGCACAAUAUAAAGCUCAAUUAAAUAAACGGACUGCACCACGAUCAUCAGCAUAAAAUCCCGGUCACUGGUCAUCCCAGUUGAAUUUCCGGGAAAUAAAUAAUUAAAUAAUUAAUUUCCAAAAUUAAUAUUUAAUUCCUAAAAAUUCCACCUAGGCCCGAUUUGCUUAAUUAACACCCGAUAAGGGACGGGGAAAAUCCCAAGAAGCAUCCAAUAAAUACUACAGACAAUUCUCUAUCUAAUUACACUAACCACACAACUAAUAUGCAAAGAAAUUAACUAAUAAUCACUAAUCAAUUCUAAUCUACAACCUAAUUACAUUUAAUUAAAACUAAUCAACCUUUAAGUGUAAUUAGCACACUAAGGAGGCAUUAGUGAGUAAAACUCACUUGGCAAAACGAAGAGUGGAAACCGCGAUGGCGACACGACGGCGGCCGAACUUGGGCCGGGCCAAGAACUUCACAAGCCCAAAGAAACUCUGAGCUAAAAAAAACAAGUUGAACUUGGGCCUGAGCUUGGGCUUCAAACUAAUCUCCAAUGGAUUGCGGACUGAUCUUGCGAGCUGGGCCGAAAAACAACUUCAAUGGGCUGAACAAAUAAACUGAGAAUGGGCCGUUCUCUUGAGCCGAACUCCACAUGGGCUUCAAUUAAAUUAAAACCCCCAUGGACUGAAUUGCUGCAAUUCACGUGGGCUUCAAGUCUUCAAUUGGGCUGAAUGAAGAAGCAGCUGUGGCGUUGGGCUCGGUCCAGCUAGUGUGGCGAAGGAAGACCGAAGCAGCUGGUCUUCGUUGAGGAAGCAAUCCACGCGAUGAAGUAAAGAGCAACCAUCAGCAGAGAGAGAUUCGGUUGAGGGGGGCUUCGACGGUCUUCAGCUGGCGUGCGUUGGCUUUGCGGAGGGAUCGUGGGCUUCCACGGCAAUGAGAUGGAGAAGCGGACGAGUGGCAGCAAGCUAAGCGGAAAUUGAAGACGUUGGAGCGGUGCUUCUUCGGUCAAGUUGACUGAACGUGAGGGAGAAACAGACAAGCGGCGAGCGGCUUCGGUGGACGCGGCUUCAAGGGGUCAACAAAUCGCCUGGGAGCUUUGCUGUGUUGACCUCCUGAGUGGGGUUCUUCGGUGGGGAACAAAAAUUGGUGGAGGUGGCUUCGCUCCUUGCAGCUGGAACGAAGAGGAACCGAAGUGGAGCGGCAAAAUCAAAGGAGAGAGAUCUCGGUGGUUGACUGGAACACCUGGUAGCAAAGUCUUCGAAGGUGGAAACUUCGGUCUCCAAUGGGUUCCGCUGGACGUACGAAGAAGCGUGGACGCGUGGAGAUGGGCAGCU
rnacentral:lncRNA from 1 species